GACGAACGCUGGCGGCGUGCUUAACACAUGCAAGUCGAGCGGUAAGGCCCUUUCGGGGGGUACACGAGCGGCGAACGGGUGAGUAACACGUGGGUGACCUGCCCUCAGCUCUGGGAUAAGCCUGGGAAACCGGGUCUAAUACUGGAUAUGACUCCAUGACGCAUGUUGUGGGGUGGAAAGCCUUGUGCGGCUGAGGAUGGGCCCGCGGCCUAUCAGCUUGUUGGUGGGGNGAUGGCCUACCAAGGCGACGACGGGUAGCCGGCCUGAGAGGGCGACCGGCCACACUGGGACUGAGACACGGCCCAGACUCCUACGGGAGGCAGCAGUGGGGAAUCUUGCGCAAUGGGCGAAAGCCUGACGCAGCGACGCCGCGUGAGGAUGACGGCCU
rnacentral:rRNA from 1 species